GAUGAACGCUAGCGACAGGCCUAACACAUGCAAGUCGAGGGGCAGCACAAGGUAGCAAUACUGAGGUGGCGACCGGCGCACGGGUGAGUAACACGUAUGCAACCUACCUGUAAGCGGGGAAUAACCCGGAGAAAUCCGGACUAACACCGCAUAAUACCACAUAGCUGCAUGGCUUUGUGGUUAAAUAUUUAUAGCUUACAGAUGGGCAUGCGUAUGAUUAGAUAGUUGGUGAGGUAACGGCUCACCAAGUCAACGAUCAUUAGGGGUUCUGAGAGGAAGGUCCCCCACACUGGUACUGAGACACGGACCAGACUCCUACGGGUGGCAG
rnacentral:rRNA from 1 species